UUGAACGCUGGCGGCAGGCCUAACACAUGCAAGUCGAGCGGUAGAGAGAAGCUUGCUUCUCUUGAGAGCGGCGGACGGGUGAGUAAUGCCUAGGAAUCUGCCUGGUAGUGGGGGAUAACGUUCGGAAACGGACGCUAAUACCGCAUACGUCCUACGGGAGAAAGCAGGGGACCUUCGGGCCUUGCGCUAUCAGAUGAGCCUAGGUCGGAUUAGCUAGUUGGUGAGGUAAUGGCUCACCAAGGCGACGAUCCGUAACUGGUCUGAGAGGAUGAUCAGUCACACUGGAACUGAGACACGGUCCAGACUCCUACGGGAGGCAGCAGUGGGGAAUAUUGGACAAUGGGCGAAAGCCUGAUCCAGCCAUGCCGCGUGUGUGAAGAAGGUCUUCGGAUUGUAAAGCACUUUAAGUUGGGAGGAAGGGCAGUUACCUAAUACGUGAUUGUUUUGACGUUACCGACAGAAUAAGCA
rnacentral:rRNA from 1 species